UUUAAUUGUAAAUUGAUAUCAAAAUUAUUAAUAGUUAAGUUCUUUAAAUUUAAAGAUUUUGGCGGUAUUUUAGCCUUUUCAGAGGAACCUGUCCUAUAAUUGAUAAUCCACGAUUAUUUAAACUUUAUUUAUUAGUUUGUAUAUCGUCGUAUAAAAAAUAUAUUAAAAGAUAAUAUUAAUUUUAAAUAAAAAUUCAAUUCAGAUCAAGGUGCAGCUUAUAGUAAAGUAGAGAUGGGUUACAUUAUUUUAAAGAUGUGGAAAUAAUUUUAAAAAUUUUUAAAAAUGGAUUUGAAAGUAAUUAAUAUAAAUAUUUUAUUAAUGAUUAAAGCUCUAAAAUAUGU
rnacentral:rRNA from 1 species